CUGUAACUAUGAUAAAUCAUGGAUUCAAACUGGAAGCAGGUAUAGCACCAUAUGUCAUGUAUGUAUAUAGGUAUGGCACACAUGAAUGAAUUGGUACCUUAUCAACGUAUUGUGUUCAAAGAAAACCUAAUGAAUCCAGCAGUUCAAAAACAUGUUUUGCAGUGAGACGAAUGGUGACAAUGGCUUUGUGGCAGUUAGUGAAAAACUGUGGCAUUUUACACUGAUGAUGGCUACAAUUUACAGACAAUUUCUCAACCAAUAGUGACAUUCAAUUGAAAGUAAUAGCAUAUCUUACACUGACUAUACAUCAGAAUGUUGUUGAAAAAAGCCAUGGCAAAAAGUGGAAAAUACUGAUCAAUAUACUUCAAUGACUUUGGAACUGAGUAGAAAAUGGUGACAUUUUAGCACCAUAUUGUGUGUAUACUUUUUCUUGCAUCCGCACAGUCCGGCCAGGAUCCAUGCUGUUCACUAAUGGUUUCUAUGGUUGCUAUAGCAUUUGAAAGCGAGCAGCAUGGAUCCUGACCAAAUCAAGCUGAUGCGCAGGCUGGUCUGUAGCCAUGCUGAUCGCAAAGCCUCUAUGUUGGUUUUCUCCUGGCACGGCUCAUAUAUAAAUUCAUGUAUGUAAAUAAUGUUUUGCUUAUGGUAUUUUGUCAGCACAGGUAAUGAAAUACUAAAAAAACAUAAAAUUUUUUGUUAGUGUUUUGUUCAAAUUUGUGACCUUGCUCUUUUGCAUAUCAUAUGUUUUGUUGGUAAUUUGUAAGCAGUGUUUUGUUAGUGUUUUCUUUAGCACAUAUAAUGAAACACUAAUAAAACAUUAAGUAUUCUGUUAGUGUUUUGUUUAAGCCUAAUUUGCAUAUCAUGUUUUGUUGGUAUUUCGUUAGCAAUGUUUUGUUAGUGUUUUGUUUGUGUUUUGUUACCUCAUUUGCAUGUCAUUUGCUAUACUAA
rnacentral:lncRNA from 1 species